UCGAGGAUCUUCGGCAAUGAGCGCAAGCUUGACCGAGCGACGCCGCGUGUGCGAUGAAGGCCUUCGGGUUGUAAAGCACUGUCGAGGGGGAGAAAAGCCGAAAGGUCUGAUCUAUCCCUGGAGGAAGCACGGGCUAAGUUCGUGCCAGCAGCCGCGGUAAGACGAACCGUGCGAACGUUGUUCGGAAUCACUGGGCUUAAAGGGCGCGUAGGCGGGCUGCCAAGUCCGUGGUGAAAUCCUCCGGCUCAACCGGAGAAUGGCCUCGGAUACUGGCGGCCUGGAGGCGGGUAGGGGCAAGCGGAACUGUGGGUGGAGCGGUGAAAUGCGUUGAUAUCCACAGGAACUCCGGUGGCGAAGGCGGCUUGCUGGACCCGAUCUGACGCUGAGGCGCGAAAGCCAGGGGAGCGAACG
rnacentral:rRNA from 1 species